UGUAGCCGGAGCGAAAGCGAGUCUGAAUAGGGCGAACAUAGUUAGUUUGAGUAGACGCGAAACCGUGUGAUCUACCCUUGGGCAGGUUGAAGCUUUGUUAACCCAAAGUGGAGGACCGAACCCGUUGACGUUGAAAAGUCUUGGGAUGACCUGAGGGUAGGGGUGAAAGGCCAAUCAAACUGGGAGAUAGCUCGUACUCCCCGAAAUGCUUUUAGGAGCAGCGUGGAGGUUAAGUCUGGCAGAGGUAGAGCUACCGAUAGGACUAGGGGGAGUCAAAUCCUACCAAAUCCUGACGAACUCCGAAUGCUGUCAGAUAUACUCUGCAGUGAGGGUUUGGGUGCUAAGGUCCAAAUCCGAGAGGGAAAGAACCCAGAACUACAGCUAAGGUCCCAAAAUCUGUGUUAAGUUGAACUAAGGCGGUCCAGUUGCAGAGACAGCCAGGAUGUUGGCUUGGAAGCAGCCAUUCAUUUAAAGAGUGCGUAACAGCUCACUGGUCGAGCGAUAGGGCAUCGAUAAUAAUCGGGCAUUAAGUGCGGUACCGAAGCCUAGGAUAGUAAUAUGGUAGGGGAGCAUUCUCUGUGCAGUGAAGAUGUGCUGUGAGGCAUGUUGGAGCGCAGAGAAGCGCAAAUGUAGGCAUAAGUAACGAUAAUGCGGGCGAGAAACCCGCACACCGAUAGACUAAGGUUUCCCCGGCAAUGCUAAUCAGCCGGGGGUUAGUCGGGACCUAAGGCGAACCCGAGAGGGGUAGUCGAUGGACAAUCAGUUAAUAUUCUGAUACUACCCAUAACUGCGAUGGGGUGACGGAGGAGUGAAAGUCUCGCGUACUGACGGAAUAGUACGUUGAAGCAGUAAUGCGAUAGUACACUAAGGCUACGGCCGCGGUGAUAAUGUAGCGAAGGAGGUUCCAAGAAAAGCGAGUGAAGCAGCCUGUACCGUAAACCGACACAGGUGGUUGGGAUGAGAAUUCUAAGGUGCUCGAGAGAUUCAUGGCUAAGGAACUAGGCAAAAUCGACCCGUAACUUCGGGAGAAGGGUCGCCCUCCAAUGGAGGGCCGCAGUGAAGAGGUCCAGGCGACUGUUUAUCAAAAACACAUGGCUUUGC
rnacentral:rRNA from 1 species